UCCCUUGUGGCUCAGCUGGUAAAGAAUCUGCCUGCAAUGCAGGACACCAGGGUUCGAUCCCUGGCUUGGGAA
rfam:TPA: Bos taurus chromosome 8, whole genome shotgun sequence.